GCGGUACUUCGACCGUGCAAAGGUAGCAUAAUCAUUUGCCUUAUAAUUGAAGGCUAGUAUGAAUGGUUUGACGAGAAUUAAGCUGUCUCUUUACAAUUAAAUAUAAUUUUAUUUACAGGUGAAGAAGCCUGUGUUUUAUUGAAAGACAAGAAGACCCUAUCGAGCUUUAAAAAAUUUAGUAGACUUAUCUUAUAUUAAUAAAAAUAUAAGGCUAUUAAAAAUUUUGGUUGGGGCGACUGAGGAACAAAUAAAGCUUCCUUUAUAGUUAAAAACUUACAAGUAUUGAUCCAAUAAAUUUGAUUAAAGGAAUUAGUUACCGUAGGGAUAACAGCAUAAUCUUCUUUGAGAGCUCCCAUCGAAAAGGAGGUUUGUGACCUCGAUGUUGGACCAGAAUACCCAGAAGAUGCAGCUGUCUUCAAAGGUUGGUCUGUUCGACCAUUAAAAUUCU
rnacentral:rRNA from 1 species